AGUGAACGCUGGCGGUAGGCCUAACACAUGCAAGUCGAACGGCAGCACAGAGGAGCUUGCUCCUUGGGUGGCGAGUGGCGGACGGGUGAGGAAUACAUCGGAAUCUACUCUGUCGUGGGGGAUAACGUAGGGAAACUUACGCUAAUACCGCAUACGACCUACGGGUGAAAGCAGGGGAUCUUCGGACCUUGCGCGAUUGAAUGAGCCGAUGUCGGAUUAGCUAGUUGGCGGGGUAAAGGCCCACCAAGGCGACGAGCCGUAGCGGGUCUGAGAGGAUGAUCAGCCACACUGGAACUGAGACACGGUCCAGACUCCUACGGGAGGCAGCAGUGGGGAAUAUUGGACAAUGGGCGCAAGCCUGAUCCAGCCAUACCGCGUGGGUGAAGAAGGCCUUCGGGUUGUAAAGCCCUUUUGUUGGGAAAGAAAUCCAUCUGGUUAAUACCCGGGUGGGAUGACGGUACCCAAAGAAUAAGCACCGGCUAACUUCGUGCCAGCCGCCGCAGUAA
rnacentral:rRNA from 1 species